AUUGAAACUGUUUUCAUAAUUCUCGUCUGCGAAGUAUAACAUUCAGGAAUAAACAAAGUUUCAAGAGGAAUUUAUGUGCCCAGCAAGCCAGCAUUCCGAAUUACGCCCCUGUUGUCAAUUUGCUUCACGACAAUAUUUGAGUAUAUCAAGAUAUUUAACGCUAAUCUGGAUUCAUUUUCACUGUGUGUGUUAACGAUGUUUCAAAUUGAAUGAUGUCUUUGCUCUGCUAUUGAAUGAGAAGACAUAUCAAUAUAUAUGGAACUACAAAACUACAAAGAGGUUAAAAAACAAUUAAGCAUGCAAUAAAAUGCUUGCAGGUGAAGGGAAAAAACUGUUUCUAAAUCUGUUCGUUUAAUUUAGUCUGCGGAACAACAAAGUUUCUAGAGAGUCUCAGAUUAUAGUAUGGGAAGUGUCUAGAUGGUAUAACAUAAAUGUUUUCUGCUG
rnacentral:misc_RNA from 1 species